GUGAAGAGUCUGCAGAUGAUGUUGACACCAACUUAGAGAGUUCAUCAUUCAAUGAUCAAAGUUUGGAGGAAUCAAGUGAUGACAUUAUUAAUUGGGAAAGGAUAGAUAUCGAUGGUACAACAAUUGUCACACCUUUACUACCUGCCCAAAAGAUGGUAGAGGACCAAACAGAUGAUACCGAUUUUUCUAAUCCCAAUGGAGAUGACAUUAUGUAUAAUAAUUUAUUUCUUAUGUACCAUAUUGCCCUGGUAUAUGAAAAAGAAAUUCAAAUGUUUUUUUUCAUGUGAUUUUGUUAUUAUUAUUACUAUUUUUUGAAAUUUAAAUGUCUUUUCAUUAACUAAAGAUGAAGAAUAUUUUAUUGUCAUACUGUCAUAUUGCUAGACAUAUACAGGUGUUAGACAUGAGGCGCAUUAAUCGUACGGCUAGGCGAUCGAUAGGUCCUAUGACUGAUGCGAGACCUAGCCAGCCUCAAGUGACCCAGGCUACAAAGGGUCCCUCUAGUGAUUCAUAGGGUGCGAUAAAAAAGAGAGGCCACACACGAUGCCUCGAAGUUUGCAAGAUGCGUGAAGGACAACGAAUUCAUAUUCCCAUCAACACCAAAGGACAACCUGUUGGUGACAAUGUUAACAAGUUGACAAACUUCCUAGGGACUAUAGCACGCAAUGGGGAAUAUGCACCCCUUACAUUUACUGAUUGGAGGGCAAUGUGAAUGAGAAGAAGGAUGAUAUGUUGCGACUUGUUAUGUCCAAGUUUGAGUUUGACGCGGAUGCAAAGAAGUGGGUGUUACAAUCAAUUGGUAGAAAAUGGAAGGAUUGGAAAGGUGAAUUGAAAAACUCCACUAUUCUCCUCAUGAGACUGAUGAGGAGCGGCUCGCGGACCUUGAUGAGCGGGUUAAAGAGGAUUAGUGGAAGGCACUCAUUCAGUUUGGAACUCUGAAGAGGGGAAGGUAUGUGAUAAGUAACUAUUGAUUGCUUUAUAUUUUAGAAUUACACAAUAAUCUUUUAUUGAUAUCUUAUAAUUUACUCUAUCGGUGUGUUGACAUAUAUGCUCGUACUAAGACAAGUUUAGAGAAUCGAAAAAGAUAAUUAAUCGGCCA